AGCGAACGCUGGCGGCAGGCCUAACACAUGCAAGUCGAACGGACCUUUCGGGGUUAGUGGCGGACGGGUGAGUAACACGUGGGAACGUGCCUUUAGGUUCGGAAUAGCUCCUGGAAACGGGUGGUAAUGCCGAAUGUGCCCUUCGGGGGAAAGAUUUAUCGCCUUUAGAGCGGCCCGCGUCUGAUUAGCUAGUUGGUGAGGUAAUGGCUCACCAAGGCGACGAUCAGUAGCUGGUCUGAGAGGAUGACCAGCCACAUUGGGACUGAGACACGGCCCAAACUCCUACGGGAGGCAGCAGUGGGGAAUCUUGCGCAAUGGGCGAAAGCCUGACGCAGCCAUGCCGCGUGGAUGAUGAAGGUCUUAGGAUUGUAAAAUCCUUUCACCGGUGAAGAUAAUGACUGUAGCCGGAGAAGAAGCCCCGGCUAACUUCGUGCCAGCAGCCGCCGUAAAAC
rnacentral:rRNA from 1 species